UAUAGUAAUUCUACAAAACUCUUUGUGCACGAGGGUGGGACAAAAGAGAUAAGUCUGUGUCAGCACCGUGAAUACAUCGCUGGUUUUGAACAAGUGACGGGCUAAGUGCAUCAAGAUAGUCAUAAAACCCAGACAUAGUUAAACGACAGAAUGGCCACAACUACCAUUCCCAAACUCAAAUUCAACGAAUACUUAGAUCAGAGAAUACAGGAAAGGGCAGGAGGAAAACAGGAGUAUAAAUCAAUAAAAAAGAUAUGGGGGGGAAUUAGGCUGAGAUGGACACAGGCAGGUUACAUUAGUGGAGUUGCCCCGUCAAGGGAGCAGCUCAGCGCUAUGGAGAGAGAAUUAGAGGAAGCAGUGAAGCAUGGAAAAGAUAGUGAGGCAGAAAAAAAUAGGAACCAUUUAUUCAAGAAGAAAGGAACGAAAGAGAAGGAGAGAGCGGAGGCGGAGCUGAGAAUAGGCACAUGGGCAAUAGAAGAGACAAAAAGGACACGCCCACACAAAAAACCUGAUAUGAUGGGCGUGCUUGCCGGGGCCUCAGCUGACGUCAGCGAAGGCACAAUCAACAACCACAACACACCACCGCGACCACCCCAUCAGCCCCGCCCUCUCUAUACCCACCACUGCCACAGGAAGAGAAGACUGCAGUGCCACCUCCCUAUUCACAAAAUCCAUUCGCACACCUCCCACACAACCCGUUUAAAACCCACACCACCCCAGCCGCCGUGCAAGCCCCGGUCUUUAUGGUGCAGGGAGGACAGCUAAAAGGGAACAUGACUGUGGGUAUUCAAGAUGGCCUCCUCGUCUGUGAAGAAAGGCCCGAUUGCUCAAGCCCCGCAGCACUACAAGGCCCAGGUGGGUCCCUGCCGAACUACCCACAACCUAGGGAAGGUGGAUCUCAACCGGGCCUCCUAAAGAGAGAAGGCCACAAUACCAAAGAAACAGAUGGUGGCCGAGGCAUCUACAGACAUUGCUGAAAUAGUCACUGAAGCAGUCACCCAGAUGAUGCAGCAACAAACUGUCCAGCAGACCUCAGCACCCACCCAGGGGAGGAAGGCCCUUCUACGGUCCACCUAGAGGGAGGGGUGGCUACAGGCCAUCCCCUCAGCCACAACCACAGCUGCAAUCAAGAAUUCAGAGUGAACAACCUGCAAACAACCACCCAGUGCCAUUUGCCUCCUACCCACCACAGCAGGCGCCGUUCCAGGGUAUGUCAGGAGAAUACCCACCUUGGCAAUGAAGCUGCCCACCAUCACCAUGAAAGAAGGAACUGACCUCUCUACGGAUGCCUCUCUCACCUCCCCUGACUACUCCAAGAGUUUCCAUUUGGAUGUUUCUGAAAAGGAGGGGUUCACGGUCUCUGUCCUUUUUCAGAAACAAGAGGGGGAGCGUAGGGUGCUGCUGUACCACUCCUCCAAGUUAGAUAACACGGACAAGAACAUGGCCGACGCUCUCAACGCGGAAGAAGAGCUACCUCACUCCUGCACCGAAACAGCUGCUCAAGAAUUGAAACUAAGACCCGACCUGGGAAACACACCACUGACCAAACCUGACCUAUGGUUAUACACAGAUGGCUGCUGAUACAAAGGAGAGAAUGGUAAUGUGGCGGACUAUGCAGUGGUGCAGCAGGCCCAGACGGCUCACACGUUACCCUUGAAUCAGCCAUCAUCCCUCAACCAGCACCUGCCCAAUUAGGUGAAAUCAUCGGAUUGACGCAGGCCCUCAUCAGAGGAAAAGGAAACUACCACAAGACCAUACCGUUUCUAGGCGUGAGGUGGGGGUCACUAAGUGCACCCCCCUGGAGUUGAAGAGCACCACCUUGUGUUUGCCUUUCAAUGCCACCACCACCGUUUACCUGCCUUGGGGCCUUUUGGGUCAUGCGCGAAAUAGUCUGGGGCUACCUGCCUGGACCUAUUCCAGUUUUAACUGGUAUAUAACCAAAGGGGGAUAUGGUGUGGGUGAUUUGGUGACCCGGAUACAGGCUGUGGACCCACAGUUUCUGCCUACCAGAACCAAGCGGGAAGCAGCCCCGACUGGUGGGGAUCCCACAUAUAUUGAUGCCAUAGGUGUUCCUAGGGGGGGUCCCGGAUGAGUACAAGCUGGUGGACCAGGUCGCCGCAGGUUUUGAAUCAGCUUUCUGCUGGUGGUGCACUGUUGAUAAAAAUGUUGACCGCAUUAACUAUAUACAUUUCAAUGUCCAAAAAUUAGGUAACUGGACUCAACAAGGUUUUGAGGCCGUACAUGGUCAACUGGCUGCCACCUCCCUUAUGGCUUUUCAAAAUCGCAUUGCCGUUGACAUGUUGCUGGCUGAGAAGGGUGGGAUAUGUUUUAUGUUUGGGGAGCAAUGUUGCACAUUUAUCCCUAAUAACACAGCCUCUGAUGGCAGCCUCACUGUGGCGUUAGAAGGCCUGCGUACCCUUAAUGGUAAAAUGAAAUCCCACUCUGGGGUUGAUACCAGCAUGUGGGACUCCUGGAUGGAUGCAUUUGGUAAAUAUAAGGUCUUGGUCUUGUUGAUAACUGGGAUGUGCAGGUGAGUGAGCCGGUCAAGGAUCGAUUCGGACAAAGCGGUAGAUUGUAUGACAAGCGACAGUUUAUUCAGAGUGAAGAUAUCUGGUACAGCGUAUACGGGCCCGUUCAUUCAGCUCAUAAGGAACCUCCAGAAAGAAGCCCCGCUAACAGUGUGCACAUGUAUUAUAUACAGAACAGAAAGUAGGUUGAUUCUAGAAGAUCGGGUCUUCGGAUUGGUUCAGGCUGGAGUGUAGUCUUCUUGUAUUGGCUCAGUUGGACCAUCCGUCAUCAUAGAGUCUCGUCGUACCUGUCCUUGGUCACACAAUGUUCAGCUAAAAAGGAGAUUAGGUGUGUGCGUGUGUGUUCCUCUUUCUCAGGGUUGGGGUGCCUCUGCAGCUGGUGUUUGUCACGAGAUAGUGUAUCAGACUCAGCAACCCCUCAAUGGCGCUUUGUGGUUAGGCCGCUCGCUGUUAUGUAGAGAACAGGAUGUUCCAGUGUCUGUGUGUUGACCUUGAGUAUGUGUGAAGGAGGGUGUAACGUGUUAUAACAGCUCAGCUUGUGGUAAUAGGGCAAAUAAGGUAAAACUAAACUGCGUUCUAUUAAUCUUCUACAGUCUCUUCUAUUUUGGUCUCUAUCUCUGGUCUCUAUCUCUGUGUUUGUCGCUAUAUUAACCCUCUGUGGCUGUUGUUGCAUCCCAUGUGCCCGCUCCCUGCUUUCUCGUGUUAUUACUUCUGCUAUUCCACCAAAUAAUGACCCUGCACUGAUGUUCCCCCUCCUACAACAGGAGGAUCCUCUGGUGGAGUUUGAAACAUGCACAUAUGAGUAGUUGUCACGUCUCUUUCGAGACGUGAAGAGGGGGACUAUAAAUUUUACUGGCUUUUAAUUCAUGUCACGUCUCUUAGGAGACGUGAAAAGGGGGAUUUGUAAUGAAGUGCUAUUUCCUAUGCAAAUGACCAGCUUACUGCUAUUGCAUUGCUAUAAUUGAGACAACAUAUAGCAAUGUAUUUUCACAGUAAAACAUGGUAGGGCCAGACAGGAACGCACACACCUACACACACGCAGCCCCUCCCCUUCUGGAUGGGCUCCAAAGACAAAGAACUCUGUCGAGAACCAAUGGGAUACUGACACCAGGCUGGAGGAGACUGUCUAUCAUCUACGAACAACCUACCAGAAGCCAGGACUACCAGAAUCUACCUACGUCAUUUCAAUGUAUAAAAUGAACUGUACGAUUGUGACCGGUCUCUCUUUUUUCCAAUGGUUCGCUUGAGAACUUGACGAAACGGAGCCGUGCACGUAAUUGCCAGAUAUCAUUACUCUUGAAUAAACGGCCUUUACUAUACCGUA